rnacentral:rRNA from 1 species
GCCUCUUGUUUAUGAUAAGAGGUCCAGCCUGCCCAGUGAACUUUUAACGGCCGCGGUACCCUAACCGCGCGAAGGUAGCAUAAUCACUUGUUCUUUAAAUGGGGACUUGUAUCAACGGCAUCACGAGGGUUUUACUGUCUCCUCUUUUUAAUCAGUGAAAUUGAUCUUCCCGUGAAGAAGCGGGAAUACCCCUAUAAGACGAGAAGACCCCAUGGAGCUUUAAACCAAAUAGCAACUUAACUAUAUAUCCCCCCAUAGUUCCAUAAAGCCAUGCUACAAGGUUUUUGGUUGGGGUGACCGCGGAGUAAAAUGUAACCUCCACGACGGAAAGGCCACAAUCUUUAUUUAAGAACCACAAUUCUAAAAACUAGCACACUAACGUACACUGACCCGACAAUCGAUCAACGGACCAAGUUACCCUGGGGAUAACAGCGCAAUCUACUUCGAGAGCCCAUAUCGACAAGUAGGCUUACGACCUCGAUGUUGGAUCAGGGUAUCCCAGUGGUGCAGCCGCUACUGAAGGUUCGUUUGUUCAACGAUUAAAACCCU